rnacentral:rRNA from 1 species
CCCUCUGGCCAUCCUUGGGGAGAUCGUGUUUGGCAUUAAGUUGUCGGGCAUGGGAUACCCAUCGUUUACUGUGAAAAAAUUAGAGUGUUUAAAGCAGGCUUAUGCCGUUGAAUAUAUUAGCAUGGAAUAAUAAGAUAGGACUUUGGAACUAUUUUGUUGGUUUGCGUUACAAAGUAAUGAUUAAUAGGGACAGUUGGGGGUAUUCGUAUUUCGUUGUCAGAGGUGAAAUUCUUGGAUUUCCGAAAGACGAACUACUGCGAAAGCAUUUACCAAGGAUGUUUUCAUUAAUCAAGAACGAAAGUUAGGGGAUCGAAGAUGAUUAGAUACCAUCGUAGUCUUAACCAUAAACUAUGCCGACUCAGGAUUGGCGGUUG